GAUGAACGCUGGCGGUAGGCCUAACACAUGCAAGUCGAACGAGUGGCGGACGGGUGAGUAAUGUCUGGGAAACUGCCUGAUGGAGGGGGCUAACUACUGGAAACGGUAGCUAAUACCGCAUACCAUCGGAUGUGCCCCGAUGGGAUUAGCUAGUAGGUGGGGUAACGGCUCACCUAGGCGACGAUCUCUAGCUGGUCUGAGAGGAUGACCAGCCACACGGGAACUGAGACACGGUCCAGACUCCUACGGGAGGCAGCAGUGGGGAAUAUUGCACAAUGGGCGCAAGCCUGAUGCAGCCAUGCCGCGUGGAUGAAGAAGGCCUUCGGGUUGUAAAGUACUUUCAGCGGGGAGGCGUUACCCGCAGAAGAAGCACCGGCUAACUCCGUGCCAGCAGCCGCGGUAAUAC
rnacentral:rRNA from 1 species